rnacentral:rRNA from 1 species
AAAACUUUCAACAACGGAUCUCUUGGUUCCCGCAUCGAUGAAGAACGCAGCGAAAUGCGAAAAUUAAUGUGAAUUGCAGAAUUCCGUGAAUCAUCGAGUUUUUGAACGCACAUUGCGCCCUUUGGUAUUCCGAAGGGCAUGCCUGUUCGAGCGUCAUU